rnacentral:rRNA from 1 species
CCUACGGGAGGCAGCAGUGAGGAAUAUUGGUCAAUGGACGGAAGUCUGAACCAGCCAUGCCGCGUGCAGGAUGACGGCUCUAUGAGUUGUAAACUGCUUUUGUACGAGAAUAAUAGUUCUUACGUGUAGGGAUUUGAAUGUAUCUUACGAAUAAGGAUCGGCUAACUCCGUGCCAGCAGCCGCGGUAAUACGGAGGAUUCGAGCGUUAUCCGGAUUUAGUGGGUUUAAAGGGUGCGUAGGCUGUCGGAUAAGUUAGAGGUCAAAUGUCGGGGCUGAACCCCGUGCCUGCCUCUGUUACUGUUAGACUAGAGAGCGGAUGCAGCAGGCGGAAUGAGUAGUGUAGCGGUGAAAUGCUUAGAUAUUACUCAGAACACCGAUUGCGCAGGCAGCUUGCUAAUCCGCAUCUGACGCUGAUGCUCGAAAGCGCGGGUAUCGAACAGGAUUAGAUACCCCGGUAGUC